rnacentral:rRNA from 1 species
AAAGAUUAAGCCAUGCAUGUCUAAGUAUAAACGAUCUAAUCGUGAAACCGCGAAUGGCUCAUUAUAACAGCUAUAAUUUACUUGAUCUUGACACUAUCCUACUUGGAUAACUGUGGUAAUUCUAGAGCUAAUACAUGCAUUAAAGCUCUGACCUCACGGGAAGAGUGCACUUAUUAGAACAAAACCAAGCGGCUUCGGCUGUUUUCGGUUGACUCAUAGUAACUGAGCUGAUCGCACGGUCUUGCACCGGCGACGUGUCUUUCAAGUAUCUGCCGUAUCAACUUUCGAUGGUAGUGAAUCUGACUACCAUGGUGAUCACGCGUAACGGAGAAUAAGGGUUCGGCUCCGGAGAGUUCGCCUGAGAAAUCGCGAACACAUCUAAGGAAGGCAGCAGGCGCGAAAAUUACCCACUCUCAGCACGAGGAGGUAGUGACGAAAAAUAACGAGACCGUUCCCUUAUGAGGCCGGUCAUCGGAAUGGGUACAAUUUAAACCCUUUAACGAGUAUCUAUGAGAGGGCAAGUCUGGUGCCAGCAGCCGCGGUAAUUCCAGCUCUCAAAGUGCAUAGAAUUAUUGCUGCGGUUAAAAAGCUCGUAGUUGGAUCUGUGCCAUAGGACGUGGUCCACCUUCUGGGUGCGUACUAUGUUCCUAGGCUUUUUGCUGGUCUUCCCGUCGUAGCCUUCAUUGGUUGCGGCGGGUGGCUGGCGAGUUUACUUUGAGAAAAUCAGAGUGCUCAACACAGGCGUAUCGCUUGAAUGAUUGUGCAUGGAAUAAUAGAAAAGGAUUUCGGUCCUCUUUUAUUGGUUUUGUGGACUGAGAUAAUGGUUAACAGGGACCAACAGGGGCAUUCGUAUCGCUGCGUGAGAGGUGAAAUUCUUGGACCGUAGCGAGACGCCCUACUGCGAAAGCAUUUGCCAAGAAUG